rnacentral:rRNA from 1 species
UACGUAGGGUGCGAGCGUUAAUCGGAAUUACUGGGCGUAAAGCGUGCGCAGGCGGUCUGUUAAGACCGAUGUGAAAUCCCCGGGCUUAACCUGGGAACUGCAUUGGUGACUGGCAGGCUUUGAGUGUGGCAGAGGGGGGGUAGAAUUCCACGUGUAGCAGUGAAAUGCGUAGAGAUGUGGAGGAAUACCGAUGGCGAAGGCAGCCCCCUGGGUUAACACUGACGCUCAGGCACGAAAGCGUGGGGAGCAAACGAGGA